rnacentral:rRNA from 1 species
CCUACGGGAGGCAGCAGUGAGGAAUAUUGGUCAAUGGACGAGAGUCUGAACCAGCCAAGUAGCGUGAAGGAUGACUGCCCUAUGGGUUGUAAACUUCUUUUAUAUGGGAAUAAAACGUUCCACGUGUGGGAUUUUGUAUGUACCAUAUGAAUAAGGAUCGGCUAACUCCGUGCCAGCAGCCGCGGUAAUACGGAGGAUCCGAGCGUUAUCCGGAUUUAUUGGGUUUAAAGGGAGCGUAGGUGGAUUGUUAAGUCAGUUGUGAAAGUUUGCGGCUCAACCGUAAAAUUGCAGUUGAAACUGGCAGUCUUGAGUACAGUAGAGGUAGGCGGAAUUCGUGGUGUAGCGGUGAAAUGCUUAGAUAUCACGAAGAACUCCGAUUGCGAAGGCAGUUCACUGGACUGCAGCUGACACUGAGGCUCGAAAGUGUGGGUAUCAAACAGGAUUAGAUACCCCAGUAGUC